rnacentral:rRNA from 1 species
UACGGUAGGGACCAAGCGUUGUUCGGAUUUACUGGGCGUAAAGGGCGCGUAGGCGGCGCGGUAAGUCACUUGUGAAAUCUCUGAGCUUAACUCAGAACGGCCAAGUGAUACUGCAGUGCUAGAGUGUGGAAGGGGCAAUCGGAAUUCUUGGUGUAGCGGUGAAAUGCGUAGAUAUCAAGAGGAACACCUGAGGUGAAGACGGGUUGCUGGGCCAACACUGACGUGAUGCGCGAAAGCCAGGGGAGCAAACG